rnacentral:lncRNA from 1 species
GUCGUUUUCACCAACUUAUCACACAUGGUAUAGUACGAAGUGCUAGAAAUUAAUUCCACUACGCACAAAUCAACGUAUUACACAUUUGCCAGUUGUUGCAUGCAUGCAUAAACAGGUGGCAAGGGCUGCACGUUGGUUUUUCGGAAUGGGCUGACAGCAAUCCACAUAUAUAAAUAAGUAAACUGGGGGUGAAAACAGGAGAGAUGUUGUCUCGAGUGCACAGUUGGACAUCUUUUUUUUUUUUAAAAAAAGAAAGGAGGCACAAUUGGACAUAGUUGACUUUAAGUGUGCACAAUGUAGAGGGGCGAAGCUAGUAAAAUUAACAACAAACAAGUUUUUUUUUGUUAUAAAAAAGUACAAAAACCUCGAUUCCUUGUGAAAGGCUCCGUGAGAAAAGGACACGGAGCACCAACCAACUGAAAAGUGAGCAUGCUUUAUCGCCAAAAGGAAACCAAAAUCGAGUAUGGUGGCGAACAGUUCUGCAAUUGGACAUGUUUCCCUUCAUUCAUCACAUAGUAUACAAAAGCGAUUAAUCAACCCGCAAAGAAAGAAAAAAUGUGCCCCAGUACGUGGCACCCCCAAAAAAACUUACUUCCAAUUGGACUGUGUUCGGCCAAUGAUUGGUCAAAGGAAGCAGUACUAUUCAUGCAUCACGAUCACGGUGUUCGUGCAAGCACGUUUCACCCAAUCGCCUGCGCCGAUCAUGUCACGGGUGGACCAUUAAUCGACAAACAAAGCUUUAGGCACGCACGCAUCAAUUAUCCCCUUCCCCGGCCCCGGACAAUGCAUGCCUGCAUUUGCCAACAGUGUUCAACGCACAAGCACACAAACUGAAACCGGCCCCAACCAACACCGAAGAGACCUGUAGCAGAAAGGAGGGGGAAAAAGAAGAAGAAGAAAAAAAAAAUGCGGCGAUACGAUAUCCAAUCCAACCAAACACAUCGCACACAUUUUAUUUAUUAAUGGAAAACACACAAUUCAGUCCCGUCAACUGAGUGCACUCGAUGUAUUGGCUCG